rnacentral:rRNA from 1 species
AUGGCCGGCACCGCAUCCUCUCACGCUUGCUCCGCUCCGCUCCUUCCUCCCAUCAGUUCGGAUGCGGUGCGCGCGUCCCCAACCCCUGAUGGCUCUCACGCCGAACCCGCCACUCCAGCUCCGCUCCCCCCCCCCUCGCGGUCGCCGUGGACCACCAGCGCCGUGCGCUCCUCUCGCCGCGCCGCACUCGCUCCUACCGUUGCUGUGCCGGCGCUGACGUGGGUAAGGUGUGGGCGAGACGGGCGUACCCGUAUGACGAGAUCGAGACGAGGUGGCAGGCGCGCUGGGAGGAGCACCCCGGACGCCUCCAGGCCCAAGGGCUACAUCCUCGGGAUGUUCCCUUACCCAAGCCACUGCCAAGCGUCCCAGCUGCCAAGUCCCACGCUCCACUUAUGUGCUUGGAUGUUGGAACCAUUGGCAACAUCGAUCCGAUGUGUACAGCUCCGGUAUCGUCCUUCUGGAGUUGCUCAAAGGGAUGAAGACCGUCGACAACGAUUGCAAUUUGCACCAGUUGGUGACGUGCACGGACAUGGGGCUGGUCCAGAAGGUGUUCCAGCUGGCCCUGCUGUGCACCAAGCGGCACCCCAUUGA